UUUUUAUUCAUUGUUCCUUUUCGACAAAAGAGAAUUCCACUCUGAUCAAGCUAUAUCGAGAUUAAUUCGUAUUUGCACAGUUUCCUAAUGUUUAAAUAUUUAUCCAAUAUUUAUUAUAUUUUAAUAUUUCAAUAGAAUUAUUUAUUAUUAAUAAAGUAAAAAUAUAAUAAUGCUGACAAUUUCCAGAAUCUAAAUUUCUUUCAUUAAUAGACACGAUGCGAUCCCAACAUGUAUCCAUACAUAUCGAUCAUACAUAUAUAUGUAUACCAUGAGACGUUACUCAAAUGAUGCUAGUCCAGAUGGAGACAUGAAAAGAUUCUCAUACCCACGAAUUCAUUCUGUUAUAUCAAAGUUCUUGACUCAUAGAUGAUUCAAGGUAAAUUUAUAUUCGGAGAACGGCUUUCCCUAGUAUCCUUGACUUUUUAAUUCAUAUUGCACUUGUAUUCGUGCCUCAUUUAUUUUCUUCACAUUGAAUGUGAUAGUUACAAAGUUUUAACGAUUCAAGCUUUGAAUUAUCAGAAACGUGAUUCAACAGCAUCCUAUCUAGCAAAUGCUUAUUCAUACAAUUACAAAGAUUAUUUUUUAUUAAAUAAAAACAGAAAAUAAAUAAACAGAAUUUUCUUAACUGAUAAU